rnacentral:tRNA from 1 species
GACCGCUCCUGCGGGCAGCUUGAACAGGUCGCCGUUGAGGUCGGCGGUGACCGUCGCGAGUUCGUUCCCGCCGCGGUCGC